CCUACGGGAGGCAGCAGUGGGGAAUAUUGGACAAUGGGGGGAACCCUGAUCCAGCCAUGCCGCGUGUGUGAAGAAGGCCCUCGGGUUGUAAAGCACUUUCAGUGAGGAAGAACGCCUGGUGGUUAAUACCCAUCAGGAAAGACAUCACUCACAGAAGAAGCACCGGCUAACUCCGUGCCAGCAGCCGCGGUAAUACGGAGGGUGCGAGCGUUAAUCAGAAUUACUGGGCGUAAAGCGCGCGUAGGUGGCUUGAUAAGCCGGUUGUGAAAGCCCCGGGCUCAACCUGGGAACGGCAUCCGGAACUGUCAAGCUAGAGUGCAGGAGAGGAAGGUAGAAUUCCCGGUGUAGCGGUGAAAUGCGUAGAGAUCGGGAGGAAUACCAGUGGCGAAGGCGGCCUUCUGGACUGACACUGACACUGAGGUGCGAAAGCGUGGGUAGCAAACAGGAUUAGAUACCCUAGUAGUC
rnacentral:rRNA from 1 species